rnacentral:lncRNA from 10 species
CCUGCCUCAGCCUCCUGAGCAGCUGGGAUUAUAGGCGUUUGCCACCACGCCCAGCUAAUUUUUGUAUUUUUAGUAGAGACAGGGUUUCACCAUGUUGGCCAGUCUGGUCUCGAACUCCUGACCUCGUGAUCUGCCCACCUCGGCCUCCCAAAGUGCUGGAAUUACAGGCAUGAGCCACUGUGCCCCGCCAUGAAUGCACUUCUUUAGUGCCCUUACUACCUGUGCCCGGUCCUGCACGCAGGGCCACUGCCUAUUAGAAUAGAAGGCACGGUGUCUAUGACCCAUCAUACUUAUAGGAGCCCAUGAUAAUGUUCUAGCUUUAAUUUAUUUUAAAGUCAGAAGAAAAAGAGAAUACAACAAUGAUGAAUAUGUAAUAAUGAAUCCAGCCUCGUCUAUCUUCAUGUCUAUACCAAGGCAAUGUAAGACUUAAUUUUAAUAUUUGUAUAGAGCAUUGGUCCAUGAAAGCAAAUGUGCAUAUGUCCUAGGGAAGUCACAGUGGGCCCUGCUUCCAUGGCCUCCCCUAAGUGUCCAGUGACAUUUCUCCUUACUGUGGCAUUCCUUUUCCGAGACACCAACUAUUUCUUCCAAAUUUUUGUCUUCCUUGGCUUUCUUUACCUUCACAACUCCCAUUUCCUCAGCUAUAUAAUCUCACUAAGCUGAAUGACAAAUGAAUUAUGAAAUUAAUAGACCCUCAGUGCUAGUGACUGAGGUGUCCCCAGUGGCCUCCACCAAGUUAAGAUCCUCUGGAAUUUCUCCGGAUCUUCGAGGCAAGACUCUUACUCCAGUGUCAUCUUCGUCCAUCUGAAGCCCACCUCUAAGGAACCCAACAUAACUUCACUUUAGUUUAUUCACAAACAUGACGUUCCAUUGGAUCAACUGUGGCAGGAUCUCAGGGUUGAGGAGAAAGAUGACUAAUCAAACAGAGCCAAGUUUGGAGGGGAGUUUAGAAACAGGGCGAAAUAUCAUUUUAGUUAGGAAAAUACUCAGUCUCCAAAACACAUCUGAAAGGUCCCCCUUCUUUUUGUAAAACCAUACCAGGCUUCCAAGAAAAGACAUUUUCAAUGAGAAAAAUGUGAAAGCAACCUUUCUAUACUCACAGGCCUUAAGUAUAAUCUGUGAUCUGCCUCAUGAGACUGUGAAUGUCUCCUCUUACUCAUCUCUGUGGCCCUAUGUUAAUACAGCUCCUGGUGCAUUUAACUGCUUAGAAAGUACUCUUUAAUGACACUCAAUUAAAAAGAACGAAUUAUAAAAAAGAAAGCCCUUUUUGCCAUUAAGGUAACAUAUUUUCAGGUUCCAGAGAUAAGGGCAUGUAUGUCUUUGGGGGCCAUUACUGAGCCUACUACACUAGUUUUGUAAGUAAAUUUAGAGCAACUAAACUUUAGUUUUCUAAUUUUUGUAAUAGAAAGAAUUCUAUGUCCAGCCACUGGAUCCUGAAACUCUAGACUUUUAUCUCAGAUAUCAAGAGGAAAACCACAUGAAUAAAUACCUGUUUCUUUAAAGCUGAUGUAAUCUUGACCCUAUUGUAUUUCCUCCUUCUGGAUACAUGCCCUUCAUUAUUUUAUUCUAAAAUUUAUUCUCAGGAUCUGUUGACAUUGUCUUUUGUUGUUCAUAUGGAAAACUCAAGCUUUUCAGUUUGCCAACAUUCUCAACUCUUCAGAAUUUCUACUGAUGUCUAGAUUAUACUUCAGGCAAUGGAUCCCAUGUUUACUACUUAAACGUGCUUCAUCUAUGAAACCUUCAGUUGGACACAUCUUAUAUUAAUGAAGUCUCUUAACUCUGCAGUUUCUACUAUACCUUGAUUUAUCAAGUUCUUGAUUCAUCAAGAGUUGUCAUUAGGUCUCUCUUCUUUCCUCUUUGCAUUCUUUCAAUACCCAUAGAAGUUUACGUAUGAAAAUUAGGCUAAAUAAUAUACUAAAUUGAAAUUGAUCAGACUCCACUUAUUCUACACAAGUAAGUUUGGAAACAUCUAAUUUAAAGAAAAGCACUUUCUCACUAUGGUUUCAGCAGUCAAGAUGAUUGCCUUUCCAACAUCAGUUUUACUUUAAAUAAUUUGUUUAGGUCAGCCAUGCUAAUUUCAUUGUGGUUGGCAUAGGAGUCACUGUGGAUAAAGAGUUGUGACCCAGCCUUAGCCAACGCCACAUAAGAAGCACUGUGCUGGGUACUUCUAGGAGAGUUUCUCUCACUUCUAAGAAGGAGCCUUUGAAGAGAGGUUGCUUCUCUUCUUCAAGGGGAUAUUGUCCCAUUGCAAGGUGAGGUGUGAAAUUGCUGUGGAGUCUCCACCCAGCCUGAGGACGACAUCAAUACACAGAAGAAGAAAAAGGAGAAGAUGAGAGAAAUUCUGCACUCUCAUGGAUGACACCCAGAGUUUACCCUCCCUCUGGACUUCUUGUUAUGGGACUAACACAUUUUUGUGGAUUUUAAACCAAUUUGAAUUACUUUUUUUGCACCUGCCUGUACUCUAAUCCAAACAACCAUCCAAGUUAAUAAUUUUCUCUUUACAAUGCACCCUGCAUUUUGUACCUAUACAAGAGUGGUCAGAAUGUGUGAAAACUGCUGAGUCAUCCUGACAGCAUGGCUCCAGUAGAUUCUAGGGGUCGGCUAUAGUAUUGAGUGAUAUUAAAAUAACAAAUAAUGCACAAAAGGCAUGGAUCUAAAAAAGUCUUUAGGAAUCUUCACUCACUGAGAGCUCAUAUUCAGGACACAGUUUCUUCUUCAAAUCACCUUGGACAAUAAGCCGCUCUCUGUGAGGUUAGAGUUUAUCUUGGUCUGGGAGGACCAAGCAGAGUGCUUUAGAGAUGACAAGCACAGCUGUGUUAAGAGACAACUUCCAAAGUUUGUGACCACAUAGGAUAAGUUACUCUAACUUUCAGUGCAGUUGAGCAAGAGUCCUUGAUUGGUUUCUGUUGUGAAUGCCAAUAUUUUUGUGUCAUUUUGUGGGAUCUUCCAGACACUGUCUGAGAGAAAAUCUCCAUAGCCUGGAGAGGAAGAAAAAUGUCUGGAUGGUGGGGUUUUGUCUCCUAGCACAGUUACCACCCAAUGACCAUCCUUCUUUACUUUUACAGGCCAUUAUGUUAAGCCUUUUUCAUUUGUUGCUCUCCCAUAUCCCUAUUUAGACUUUGAUAUCUGAAGGUGGAAACCAUCCCUUUUCCCUCUGGAGCUGGAGUGAUGUUCACGGAAGGCAAAGCAGCUGGGCCUGAAUGGGGCUAAGCUCUGGGAGCCAUGAGUGUCUCCACAGAAACAGAGCAGGACACCCGGAGGGACCACCCAAAACCUUGGGUCCGUUUGUGAGGCCAUCAGAUCCUCAGCUGGCAUUUGACAAGGAGGAUCAAGGUUGCAACAGCCUAAAGAAGUUUAAUUUCAAGAAAACAGGCUGAAAGAAUGAGAGUUGUGACCAACUCAGUAUACCACUGGAGGCUAUAUGAGCAAACAGAAAACUGUUCUUAUGAAAGCAGGAUGUUGGAAAACUGAUAACUGUGUCUGCCGCCAGAAGGGGUGCUGAGGGCAGUCAGGCCUCAUGCACAGUGUUCCUUGUGAUUAUCUAUAGGAACAUCUGAAGCCUGUUGUACAAAGAAAGCAAUUAUGUGGACCUGUGAUAAAUCAAGCAGUGGACCAACCAUUAGCUCUCCCUCCCUGCUCUUUCUACCUAACAAAUAUGAAAGACUGUAGAAACUCAGGGCUGCCUUUGCUCUCUAGAAGCAAGGAGCCCCUGACCCCCUCUUUCAAAAUAGGUCUUUUCGUCUUUGUCUUUACUUCUGCAUUCGACCCCCUUCAUUGACCCUGUAGAAACUGUCAGUGACAUUCUCUUUUCCCUUGUAUUUUCUAAAUUUUCUAUAAUUUGCAUGUUAUUUUAAUAAUUAGUGAGGGCAUCAAAGAAGUGGAUUUACAAUGGUGCAAACAUUGGCAGUUUCAGUUAGGAACUCAUAUUCCUGUUGGGUCAGAGAUUGAGCCCUGGAGGAAACCUCUGGUCUGAGGGCUACAGGGAAGCUCCUGUUUCAUGCCUAUUCCUGAAAUUAGGCCUGUCCCUCUGAUUUAGGGAAGAUUUAUUCCUCUGUUUGUCUGCAUACUACAGAAACAGCCUGUGAAAGAAUCUGCAGGCAUCACUUACAAUUGUAACUUAGCAUAUUGGAAAUUUCUGUUGAGGACAUCAAUGGCUUUCAUGUCCUCUGGAGUCUACUCAACAAUUUUUCUUCAAAGUCUAAAGGAGAUUUUUUCUUCCAGCAUAAUAUUCCGUGCAGUGCAGAAAGUCUUUUCUUUUGCCUUUUGGUAAAUGGCCUAAGAGAUUUUACAGUUUAUUGAGAGAAUUCCUAUGCCAUUAUCAUUAAGUUUUGGUUUGCUUAGAAUGUAAAAAAAACUGAGAUUAGAACAAAUUUUUAAAAAAGUAAGGUUAUUACAUCUGUAUAUCUUUCUGUAUGUGCUUUUAAAGUCCUUGUGACAUUGAGUUACAGGGCUUUGACUCCUGGAUCUAUAAAGGACACCAAGUCCUGCUACAUCUUAAACACUGACAACAAUUAAAGCCUCAUCUUCAGGCGCAGUAGAAGAUGCCAAUCAAAAUAAAUUGCAUUCCUGAGACAUAGGGCCAGAAAUAAAAGCUAUUCAACUCCUCAAGGCCCCAGGACUAUUGUGGAAGAGGUGGGUGUGUGAGAUUGAAAGGGCCAAUUUUGAGAGACAAAAUAAGUUCAAUUUCUCUGUAAAUUAAUCAUUAAUGUCAAAGGCACACUGAUGCAAGACAAGAAUAUGGCCCCCUGUGACAGAUUAACAAGGUUUUAGUGAAGCAUUAACUGACUCCUUAAUAAAGGUUAUAAAGGUUAUAAAAGGCUUAAGAAAGUUAUAUCCUAUUGUCAAGAUUAAAAGUUCAUAAAUUGUUAAUAAAAUUUUGAAAAACAGAUUUAAUUGGUAUCACACUGUUUUUAUUAGGGCUUAUAGUUUGGAAAAUUAAGUCUUCUCUCUCAAAGAAAAAAGGUUUUUGCCUUUUUUUGGAAUCCUUGUGUUAUCACUUUGGUUAAAUGAAUGACUUAUUUUACAAUGACCUGUAAUAUCAAGUGUUUUAAACCAUUGAUAUUUGACAAACUUUCCAAAUCAAAUUAUAAAUUAUUUCUUUUUCAGACCUAAUUAAUCCUUUAAGAUAUUAGGUUCCCUAAAAUCUAAAAAUGAAAUUUGGCUCACUUGGUGUAAAAAUUAUACAGGAAGUAUUGUCAAACAUGAAAUGGUGUUUGGUUAUCUUUGGGCUGUAUUUGUAUAAAUAUGUAAUUGGCAUGUGUUCCAAAAUUAUGGGAAACUCAUAUAACUCUGAUAUAACUUAGUAUACAUUAUCAGUAAUAAUCAUUGUCAUGUUAAAUUAUGGUGUGCCACAGAGGUAACAAAUUUCCCUGUCAAUUGUGUUUUUGACUAUGGCUGCUCUAAAACUUUUUGUCAUCCACAGACAAUUGUUUCUUGUUUUGCUCCUCUUUAGAAGGUGGUUUAUAGAACUAUAAUACUCUAACAGGUGCUCUUGAAUGCAGGUUUCUGAUAACUUUGAAGACUGUGACAUCAGAAUAGAGGAAAAACUUUGAAAACUCAUGGAGAGCUGAAAUGUUCAUGAAUAUCAAGCAGAGCAGGAAUUAGCUGCAUGAACUGAACUAAUAGAAGACUGAAGAAUCAAACUUGACUUAUGGAGACAAUAAAAGCCCCUUGGGAAAACUGGCCUCAUACUUUGUCUACGCAGUGCCUGUACAGGGUUCCUGAUCUGUGGUAAGUAAAAAAUGUAACUUUCUGACAGGUCCAGGAGCCCCAAGUUUAUCUUGGGAUCUCAAGAGGAGAGAAAUUCACCCACGCAUAGGUGUUUGAUGGUACAAAUCCAUGGCUGGGUUUCACUUCAAAAAAAUAUUAUCUGAGAUUCCUUCUGUGGAACAAAGUUCCAUCAAAGCCAAUUUAAAAGCCUAUGUAAAAAAAUAAUUAUUCUUGCUGUACUGUAUACAAAUAAUCAGGCCAAGUAUAAUAAAGCAAAUCAGUCCUACC